AAAGGAAUUGACGGGGGCCCGCACAAGCGGUGGAGCAUGUGGUUUAAUUCGAUGCAACGCGAAGAACCUUACCUACUCUUGACAUCCAGUGAACUUAGCAGAGAUGCUUUGGUGCCUUCGGGAACACUGAGACAGGUGCUGCAUGGCUGUCGUCAGCUCGUGUUGUGAAAUGUUGGGUUAAGUCCCGUAACGAGCGCAACCCUUGUCCUUAGUUGCCAGCGAGUAAUGUCGGGAACUCUAAGGAGACUGCCGGUGACAAACCGGAGGAAGGUGGGGACGACGUCAAGUCAUCAUGGCCCUUACGAGUAGGGCUACACACGUGCUACAAUGGGCGGUACAGAGGGCUGCUAACCCGCGAGGGGGAGCCAAUCCUACAAAACCGUUCGUAGUCCGGAUCGGAGUCUGCAACUCGACUCCGUGAAGCAGGAAUCGCUAGUAAUCGUGGAUCAGAAUGCCACGGUGAAUACGUUCCCGGGCCUUGUACACACCGCCCGU
rnacentral:rRNA from 1 species